rnacentral:rRNA from 1 species
GAGGGGAGUGAAAAAGAACCUGAAACCGUGUACGUACAAGCAGUGGGAGCCCCACCACUAAGCCAGUGGUGAACUCCACAUCCGCAUCCUUUGCUGAGGAUACGGUUAACGGAGCGAAAGCGACGUUCAACCGCAAAACAAGCAGAGGGGGCUUAGUGGUGGGGUGACUGCGUACCUUUUGUAUAAUGGGUCAGCGACUUAUAUUCUGUAGCAAGGUUAACCGUAUAGGGGAGCCGGAGGGAAACCGAGUCUUAAUUGGGCGUUAAGUUGCAGGGUAUAGACCCGAAACCCGGUGAUCUAGCCAUGGGCAGGUUGAAGGUUGGGUAACACUAACUGGAGGACCGAACCGACUAAUGUUGAAAAAUUAGCGGAUGACCUGUGGCUGGGGGUGAAAGGCCAAUCAAACCGGGAGAUAGCUGGUUCUCCCCGAAAGCUAUUUAGGUAGCGCCUCGUGAAUUCAUCUCCGGGGGUAGAGCACUGUUUCGGCUAGGGGGCCAUCCCGGCUUACCAACCCGAUGCAAACUGCGAAUACCGGAGAAUGUUAUCACGGGAGACACACGGCGGGUGCUAACGUCCGUCGUGAAGAGGGAAACAACCCAGACCGCCAGCUAAGGUCCCAAAGUCAUGGUUAAGUGGGAAACGAUGUGGGAAGGCCCAGACAGCCAGGAUGUUGGCUUAGAAGCAGCCAUCAUUUAAAGAAAGCGUAAUAGCUCACUGGUCGAGUCGGCCUGCGCGGAAGAUGUAACGGGGCUAAACCAUGCACCGAAGCUGCGGCAGCGAACGUAUCACCCAAGACAACUUUACGGAGUUGACGAUUGACGGAGCGAAGCGACGUCAAAGCGUUCAUUAAAGUCGAGUUGGCUUAGGGAUACGUUCGUUGGGUAGGGGAGCGUUCUGUAAGCCUGUGAAGGUGUGUCGUGAGGCAUGCUGGAGGUAUCAGAAGUGCGAAUGCUGACAUAAGUAACGAUAAAGCGGGUGAAAAGCCCGCUCGCCGGAAGACCAAGGGUUCCUGUCCAACGUUAAUCGGGGCAGGGUGAGUCGACCCCUAAGGCGAGGCCGAAAGGCGUAGUCGAUGGGAAACGGGUUAAUAUUCCCGUACUUGGUGUUACUGCGAAGGGGGGACGGAGAAGGCUAUGUUGGCCGGGCGACGGUUGUCCCGGUUUAAGCGUGUAGGUGUGUGUUCCAGGUAAAUCCGGUUCACUUUAACACUGAGGCGUGACGACGAGGCACUACGGUGCUGAAGCAACAAAUGCCCUGCUUCCAGGAAAAGCCUCUAAGCAUCAGGUAACACGAAAUCGUACCCCAAACCGACACAGGUGGUCAGGUAGAGAAUACCAAGGCGCUUGAGAGAACUCGGGUGAAGGAACUAGGCAAAAUGGUGCCGUAACUUCGGGAGAAGGCACGCUGACACGUAGGUGAAGUGAUUUACUCAUGGAGCUGAAGUCAGUCGAAGAUACCAGCUGGCUGCAACUGUUUAUUAAAAACACAGCACUGUGCAAACACGAAAGUGGACGUAUACGGUGUGACGCCUGCCCGGUGCCGGAAGGUUAAUUGAUGGGGUCAGCGCAAGCGAAGCUCCUGAUCGAAGCCCCGGUAAACGGCGGCCGUAACUAUAACGGUCCUAAGGUAGCGAAAUUCCUUGUCGGGUAAGUUCCGACCUGCACGAAUGGCGUAAUGAUGGCCAGGCUGUCUCCACCCGAGACUCAGUGAAAUUGAACUCGCUGUGAAGAUGCAGUGUACCCGCGGCAAGACGGAAAGACCCCGUGAACCUUUACUAUAGCUUGACACUGAACAUUGAGCCUUGAUGUGUAGGAUAGGUGGGAGGCUUUGAAGUGUGGACGCCAGUCUGCAUGGAGCCGACCUUGAAAUACCACCCUUUAAUGUUUGAUGUUCUAACGUGGACCCGUAAUCCGGGUUGCGGACAGUGUCUGGUGGGUAGUUUGACUGGGGCGGUCUCCUCCUAAAGAGUAACGGAGGAGCACGAAGGUUGGCUAAUCCUGGUCGGACAUCAGGAGGUUAGUGCAAUGGCAUAAGCCAGCUUGACUGCGAGCGUGACGGCGCGAGCAGGUGCGAAAGCAGGUCAUAGUGAUCCGGUGGUUCUGAAUGGAAGGGCCAUCGCUCAACGGAUAAAAGGUACUCCGGGGAUAACAGGCUGAUACCGCCCAAGAGUUCAUAUCGACGGCGGUGUUUGGCACCUCGAUGUCGGCUCAUCACAUCCUGGGGCUGAAGUAGGUCCCAAGGGUAUGGCUGUUCGCCAUUUAAAGUGGUACGCGAGCUGGGUUUAGAACGUCGUGAGACAGUUCGGUCCCUAUCUGCCGUGGGCGCUGGAGAACUGAGGGGGGCUGCUCCUAGUACGAGAGGACCGGAGUGGACGCAUCACUGGUGUUCGGGUUGUCAUGCCAAUGGCACUGCCCGGUAGCUAAAUGCGGAAGAGAUAAGUGCUGAAAGCAUCUAAGCACGAAACUUGCCCCGA